rnacentral:lncRNA from 1 species
AUGAUGAAGAGCCAGAAGGCCGGAGGAAAAGUUCCUGGCUGGGUGGAGGUGGGCUGCAGCACCGCACGAUGCCCGGCGGCCGGAGACCCCCCGACCCUGCUGGAGCCCCCGGCCUACCCCCCCGUCCGGGUCAUCCACGCCAGGGUGUCCUCGAGCAGCGCCUCGGACGUCUCCUCCAUCAGCUCCGAGCUGGAGCAAAAGUACUGGGAGGCCCUGAACGCCGAGCAGGUAGGCUCUGACGGGGUGGCCAGAUUCGAACCCGGGUCCUCCUGGGUCCUCGUUCUAGAGGGGAGCAGACGGGCUUUUGUCCCUUCUUGGAGCGGCCGGGAGGGAAGGCCUGAGGAGGGCCGGCCGGGGUUCCAGUGCCGUAGGGGGAGGACGUGCCCCAGGAGCCGUGUCUUCUGUUGGCAGUGGGACCCUGAAGACCCCCCUCCAGCCCGGAGCAGAGCCCCCCCGGCCGGGCCCCAGGGACGUCGUCCCACUUCUCGCUGCUCAGAGGCCAGAGAGGCAGCCAACGGGUCCGAAGCUCCCUGAUGGAGGACCCUGCAGAGCCCAGGACGGCCUCCAAACGGGCCUCCCUAAGAACGGGCCUCCGAAGGCCUCAACGGCCAGCUCCGGCCCCUCCUCACGCUCCGGUUUUUCCUUUCCUGUCUUCACUGAAGGCCGUCCUUGGCAGGACGUCCCAGGUUCCAGGCUGGCCUCAGACACUCCCUCUCGGCGUGACCCUGGGCGAGUCCCUUCACCCCCUGGCGCAGCUCUUUCCACUCUUCUGCCUUGAAGGGGAGGGUGAGAAGCUCCUGCCCUGAGGACUUUGUACAGCUGGGAGAGCUGAGAUUGGGAGGGGGCUUGUCCUGCCUCUGCCCAGCCCCUCCGCCUGCUCCCUCCCCUUCACUCGGCCAGCCGCCAGCUUGGGGGAACCAAGGCAGAAGGAGGAGCUGGAUUCGAACGGGGAACCAGCAGUCAGAGGCCACUUUUCACGGCUGUCGCCGUGUCUCCCCCGAGGCCCCCCAGACAUCUGGAGUUGCUGCUCGGAAGGCCUCUGUGGGAGCGAGGCCAUUGUGAGCCCCCUCCAGGCAGGGCCGGGUGCUGAGAGCCCCCUAAUGAAGUGCGAAGGCAGCCUCCCGCCUGCCCUGGGGGAAACUGAGGCUCAGACGACCAGCGCCAAUGGAGCAGCCUCUCAGCAACAUGACCGUGGACUAGAGCGUCCUACCCCUUGUCCGGCCUGCUCCAGCCUUAACUGCCCAGCCAGAGGCCCUCACUAGACACAGCGCAGGUGCCCCACCUCCACGUUUUAGUGGGGAAGAGUGUCCUGGAGGAGGGGCUGCAUGGAGGGCUCCCCUGGACCUCCCACUUCAGCAGCCCCCUGGCGCGGAGGACAGAUGCUGCCUCGGCUGCACUCACUCUCCAGCUGCCUUGGCUGCACUCGCUCUCUCCCUUCAUCCGCGAGGCAGCCCUGUGUACUCACUUUCUAACUCGUUUUCAAAUGUUCCAGAGAGUUUCAGCGGACUUUGAGGGGGGCCAGAAAGCCCAUUUUCUUCUAAAAACGCAUUUGCAGGGACACUUCUGCAUAGUUGGUGGACUGGAUUCAGAAAGGAGGCUGGGCCAGGAGCUCAAGCAUCGAGCGAGGCUUCCCUUUGGGUCUCUUCCGCAGCCCUGAACACAAUGGAAGCCGUCCCUGAACCGCUGGGUCUCGGCAGGGUUCGACCAAGGCGUCGUCCUGGUCCUCCCCACAUGCCGCAAGUCAUCCUUUCUGUUGGGGCCCUUUUAGGGAGAGCCAAAACGCCUCCAUGCCAUGAAUAAAUGCCAUUUUUCAGAGUGCUUCCUCUUCUUC